CCUUAGUGCUGAAGUUAACGCAUUAAGCACUCCGCCUGGGGAGUACGGCCGCAAGGCUGAAACUCAAAAGAAUUGACGGGGGCCCGCACAAGCGGUGGAGCAUGUGGUUUAAUUCGAAGCAACGCGAAGAACCUUACCAGGUCUUGACAUCCGCUGACAAUCUUGGAGACAAGACGUUCCCUUCGGGGACAGCGUGACAGGUGGUGCAUGGUUGUCGUCAGCUCGUGUCGUGAGAUGUUGGGUUAAGUCCCGCAACGAGCGCAACCCUUGAUUCUAGUUGCCAGCAUUCAGUUGGGCACUCUAGAGUGACUGCCGGUGACAAACCGGAGGAAGGUGGGGAUGACGUCAAAUCAUCAUGCCCCUUAUGACCUGGGCUACACAGUACUACAAUGGAUG
rnacentral:rRNA from 1 species